UGGGGAAUUUUGGACAAUGGGCGAAAGCCUGAUCCAGCCAUGCCGCGUGAGUGAAGAAGGCCUUCGGGUUGUAAAGCUCUUUUAGUCGGAAAGAAAGAGUUGCAAUGAAUAAUUGUGAUUUAUGACGGUGCCGACAGAAAAAGCACCGGCUAACUACGUGCCAGCAGCCGCGGUAAUACGUAGGGUGCGAGCGUUAAUCGGAAUUACUGGGCGUAAAGGGUGCGCAGGCGGUCUUGCAAGUCAGAUGUGAAAGCCCCGGGCUUAACCUGGGAAUUGCGUUUGAAACUACAAGACUAGAGUGCAGCAGAGGGGAGUGGAAUUCCAUGUGUAGCAGUGAAAUGCGUAGAGAUGUGGAAGAACACCGAUGGCGAAGGCAGCUCCCUGGGUUGGCACUGACGCUCAUGCACGAAAGCGUGGGGAUCAAACA
rnacentral:rRNA from 1 species